rnacentral:rRNA from 1 species
AUUGAACGCUGGCGGCAUGCCUUACACAUGCAAGUCGAACGGCAGCACGGGAGCAAUCCUGGUGGCGAGUGGCGAACGGGUGAGUAAUGUAUCGGAACGUACCUUUCAGUGGGGGAUAACGUAGCGAAAGUUACGCUAAUACCGCAUAUUCUGUGAGCAGGAAAGCAGGGGAUCGCAAGACCUUGCGCUGAUUGAGCGGCCGAUAUCAGAUUAGCUAGUUGGUGGGGUAAAGGCCUACCAAGGCGACGAUCUGUAGCGGGUCUGAGAGGAUGAUCCGCCACACUGGAACUGAGACACGGUCCAGACUCCUACGGGAGGCAGCAGUGGGGAAUUUUGGACAAUGGGGGCAACCCUGAUCCAGCCAUGCCGCGUGAGUGAAGAAGGCCUUCGGGUUGUAAAGCUCUUUCAGCCGGGAAGAAAUCGCAUGGGCUAAUACCCUGUGUGGAUGACGGUACCGGAAUAAGAAGCACCGGCUAACUACGUGCCAGCAGCCGCGGUAAUACGUAGGGUGCGAGCGUUAAUCGGAAUUACUGGGCGUAAAGCGUGCGCAGGCGGUUUAGUAAGACAGGCGUGAAAUCCCCGGGCUCAACCUGGGAACUGCGCUUGUGACUGCUAAGCUAGAGUACGGCAGAGGGGGGUGGAAUUCCACGUGUAGCAGUGAAAUGCGUAGAGAUGUGGAGGAACACCAAUGGCGAAGGCAGCCCCCUGGGUCGAUACUGACGCUCAUGCACGAAAGCGUGGGUAGCAAACAGGAUUAGAUACCCUGGUAGUCCACGCCCUAAACGAUGUCAACUAGGUGUUGGGUGGGUAAAACCAUUUAGUACCGGAGCUAACGCGUGAAGUUGACC